rnacentral:lncRNA from 1 species
CGUGAUGAUACAACUUGAACAAAUAAAUUAAUAGAUUCACAAGAUCACUAUGACACCUACGAAAGCAGACCAGGUUAGCCCCGUCCAGUCAGUGACCUAUUAGGGUCACUCUGAAAUCAAGUAAGGUAUGGCAUACGAGACAAUAUACAGAGAGAAAUUUUAAUGCAUGAUUUCAUACCUUAAUCCCUAGAUAUGUGGAUCUUGAUACAAGUGAAAUUUAUUUAUGGCCAAGACAUCCCAUUCGCGCGGUCUAUAUAAUCAAAACCAAUGGUCAAGCUAGUCAUUUCUAAGCAAGACCAAAAAGAGUAAAUACAAGCAAUGUUCCUUGUACCUUAAAAGUAACCUAGUUAAAAUUAAUCAAGUACAACAUUACAACACAUCUAAUUAUCUCGUGAGAAAGGAGAAGUUGGUUGGAUCCACUAUAAGUUCGAGUUAACAGCCCAGCCUCUGAUACUAAACAUAAUUAUGGUACUAAAGAAAAAAAAUAUAGAAUAAUUAAUGCAAUAGUUUCAUAUCUUAAAACUUUGGGGUGUGGAUUUUUGGUAGGAGGGGUUUUAGAUGGGGAAAAAGGAUUCAAUUGGAUGGUCCAUCCAAUAAAAUAUGAUGGUCAAUAUAGUCAACCUUGCACAAAAUAAAGCAAGUGGAUAAAAAAAGAUUUUUGUUGCACAAUACAACUACAAUACUACCAACAUUGGUAGUGAUCAUAUAUAUAGUGUGAGCAAAUCACACCCCGCUUAAAUCAUGAUCGAAACCCGACGGAGAAUAGGAGAUAAAUAUGUAAAAUUUAAUGUAUUGUUCCAUACCUUAAUAUUUGGAGAUGUGGAGAUUAACAUUAGAGAGUUUAGCAUCCUAUUAAGGUGGUCUAUCCAAUCAAGUCCGCUAAUCAAUCAUGUUGGUCUUCGCAAAAUCAAACAAGUGUAAAAACAUUAAAACACCUAACACAAAAAUGCAAAGUAACAUCGAAUUAUAAAAUAAGAUAAUCAUAGUAUUCGUGGGUCUAAUAAAUCAUAUUAGCCUACGUGAUAAUAGAACCUGAAUAAAUAAACUAAUAGGUCCACCACGAUCACUGUGACACCGACGAAAAAGGACCAGGUUAGCACCCCGAGCCAAUGACUAGUUGGGGGUACUCCAAAAUCAAAAAUAUAUGGCCUACGAGACGAUAUACAUAGUGAGAGAAAUUUUAAUGCAUAACCCUUAGAGGUGUGGAUUUUGAUAAAAGAGGAAUUUACUUACGGCCAAGGCAUUCCGUUCGCGCGGUCAAUCCAAUCAAAGCCAAUGGUCAAUCUAGUCAUUCCUAAGCAAGAUCAAAAAAGUGAAUAUAGUCAAUGUUCCUCGUACCCUAAUACUAAUUAACCUAGUUAAAAAUAAUCAAGUACAACAUUACAACAUAUCUAAUUACCUCGUGAGAAAGGAGAAGGUCAUUGGAUCCACUAUUAGAUCAAGACCUACAGAAAUGAAUGGGGGUUACAACCCAACCUCCGACAUUAAACAUAGUUAAGGCAGUAAAAAAAAUAUAGAAAAUUUAAUACAAUAGUUUCAUACCUUAAAAGUUCGGGGUGUGAAUUUUUAGUAGGAGGGUUUUAGAUGGGGCAAAAGGAUCCAAUCAUAUGGUCCAUCCACUAAAUUUCAAUGGUCAAUACAGCCAAACUCACACAAAAUAAAAUCAGUGGAUAGAAAAAGAUUUAUGGUGCACAAAUACAAAUACUCGUGAUUAGAAAUACUACGAACAUUGGUAGUGAUCAUAUAUAUAUAGUGUGAAUAAAUCGCACCCACUUAAAUCAUAAUCGAAAAAAAAUCUAAUGCAUUGUUCCAUACCUUAAUAUUCGUUGAUGUGAAGAUUUACAUUAGAGAGCUUGGCAUCAUAUUAAAGGUGGUCUAUCCAAUCAAGUCCGCUAGCCAUUCGUGUUGGUCCUCGCAAAACAAAACAAGUGCAAAAAAAUUAAAACACCUUACACAAAAAUACAAAGCAACAUCGAAGUAUAAUAUAAGGUAAUCGUAGUAUUCGUAAGUCUAAUAAAUCAUAUCUAUUUAUGUGAUAAUAGAACCUAAACAAAUUUACUAAUAGAUCCACCAUGAUCACUGUGACACUUACUAAAGAAGACCAGGUUAACACCCUAGGCCCAUGACUAGUCAGUAGUACUCCAAAAUCAAGUUAAGUAUGGCCUACAAGACGAUAUACAUAGACAGAUAAAUUUUAAUGCAUGAUUUUGAUCUGGAUACAAGAGGAAUUUACUUAUGACCAAGGCAUCCCAUUCUCGCGGUCUUUUCAAUCAAAUCUGAUGGUCAAUCUAGUCGUUCCUAAGCAAGACCAUAAAAGUGAAUAUAGGCAAUGUUUUUUGUACCCAAAUACGAAGUAACCUAAUUAAAAUUAAUCAAGUGCAACAUUACAACAUAUCUAAUUACCUCGUGAGAAAGGAGAAGUUGGUUGAAUCCACUAGGAGUUCGAGACCUACAUAAAUGAACAAGGUUACCGCCCAGUCUCUGAUACUCAACUUAGUUAUGGCACUGAAGAAAAAAAAUAUAAAAAAAUUAAUACAAUAAUUUCCUACCUUAAAACUUCGGGAGUAAGAUUUUUAGUAGGAGGAUUUUAUAUGGGACAAAAAGGUUACAAUCGGAUGAUCCAUCCAAUAAAGUUCAAUGGUCAAUAUAGUCAAUCUUGCACAAAACAAAGCAAAUGGAUAAAAUAAAAUUUAUCGUUCACAAAGACAAAUACACGUAACUAGAAAUACUACGAACAUAGGUAGUGAUCAUAUAUAUAAUUGAGCAAAUCGCACCAGCUUAAAUCAUAAUUGAACCCCGAUUGAGAAUACGUGAUAUAUAUAGAAAUUUAAAUGCAUUGUUCCCAUACCUUAUUAUUAGAUGUUGAGAUUUACAUUGGAGAGUUUGGCAUCCUAUUAAGGUGGUCUAUCCAAUCAAGUCCGCUAUUCAAUCAUUUUCGUCCUCACAAAACCAAACAGUGAAAAAAAAUUAAAAUACCUUACACAAAAAUACAAAGCAACAUCGAAGUAUAGCAUAAGCUAAUCGUACUAUUCGUAGGUCUAAUAAAUUUUACUCGCUUACAUGAUGAUAGAACAUGAAGAAAUAAACUAAUAAUGUCACACCCCCAACCUAAUUAAAUAUAAUUAAUAUUAAUUAGAUGGGAUGUGAUUGCACAAGACACCAUGCCUGCGAACGACUCCUGUUAUCCACCGCAUACUCAACAGAUAAAGAGUACCUUAUUACUCAUUCAUUGAUAAUUUAAAACCAAAUUGCACAAGACGACAUAAACACCCAUUUACUAUUGGUUUAAAGCCAACACCAUACGACAAACAUAUAUACGUAUUUUGAACAGAAACAAACUAUUUUGUUUUUAAACAUAAAAUAUAGACAUUUACACAACCAUUACAAAACUAGAUGAUAUUGUCCAAAGGCAAGAACUAUUCUAAAUUCUGCCAGUGACAACCAAUCACGAUUAGGAAGGACUCCAUGUCUUGGACCAUGACCACAAUGAACCAGAUAGCUAUCCACACCUCCUCACCAAUCAAAAAGGUCAGUGUGGGUGUGAGCGAAUAAUCAACAUGCUCACAAUAGAUAAUCAUACUUACAAAGAAUGAUAGCCAUAAACAUCCACCAUAAAUAUCCAGAAAUGGAGUGCAUCAAUGCAGAAAUGCAUCACCC